rnacentral:rRNA from 1 species
AGGAAUAUUGGUCAAUGGGCGCAAGCCUGAACCAGCCAAGUAGCGUGAGGGAAGACUGCCCUAUGGGUUGUAAACCUCUUUUGUGCGGGGAUAAAGUGUGGGACGUGUCCCAUAUUGCAGGUACCGCACGAAUAAGGACCGGCUAAUUCCGUGCCAGCAGCCGCGAUAAUACGGAAGGUCCGGGCGUUAUCCGGAUUUAUUGGGUUUAAAGGGAGCGCAGGCCGUCCUUUAAGCGUGCUGUGAAAUGCCGCGGCUCAACCGUGGCACUGCAGCGCGAACUGGAGGACUUGAGUACGCACGAGGUAGGCGGAAUUCGUGGUGUAGCGGUGAAAUGCUUAGAUAUCACGAAGAACUCCGAUUGCGAAGGCAGCUUACCGGAGCGCAACUGACGCUGAGGCUCGAAAGCGCGGGUAUCGAACAGGAUUAGAUACCCUGGUAGUCCGCGCGGUAAACGAUGGAUGCCCGCCGUUGGGUUUUAGAAUUCAGCGGCCAAGCGAAAGCGUUAAGCAUCCCACCUGGGGAGUACGCCGGCAACGGUGAAACUCAAAGGAAUUGACGGGGGCCCGCACAAGCGGAGGAACAUGUGGUUUAAUUCGAUGAUACGCGAGGAACCUUACCCGGGCUUGAAUUGCAGGAGAACGAUCCAGAGAUGGUGAGGCCCUUCGGGGCUCCUGUGAAGGUGCUGCAUGGUUGUCGUCAGCUCGUGCCGUGAGGUGUCGGCUCAAGUGCCAUAACGAGCGCAACCCCUGUCCAUAGUUGCCAUCAGGUCGUGCUGGGCACUCUGUGGAGACUGCCGCCGUAAGGUGUGAGGAAGGUGGGGAUGACGUCAAAUCAGCACGGCCCUUACGUCCGGGGCUACACACGUGUUACAAUGGGGCAUACAGCGAGUUGGAUGUGCGCAAGUACGUCCGGAUCAAUAAAGUGCCUCUCAGUUCGGACUGGGGUCUGCAACCCGACCCCACGAAGCUGGAUUCGCUAGUAAUCGCGCAUCAGCCAUGGCGCGGUGAAUACGUUCCCG